AUGGCCCAGAGGUGUACCUGCCUGGACUCUUGCCUUCCAUUAUUCAAAUUAUCAUUUGAUACUGUGGACGAAGAAGUUUUCAGUCUACCACUAUCUUAUGUAAUUCAUGCUUCAUGUCCACCAAAUCCCAAUAAGUGGAAGAUAAUUUUUGCAGUGAAGCCAAUGAAACCAAGUGGUCUCUUGUUUUUAAUGUCAGGAGAGGACUUUCAGAGCUUUAUUGCUGUGACAAUUGAUAUGCGAAAUAUUGUAUUUUGUCUGAAAUAUGAGUCAUUCUAUGAGGAGAGGAAAGUCCCUUUCAGUGAUUUUAGCAAUGGUUGGUUGUACAUGAAGUUGGAUAAAAGUGAGGACAAAGGCUUGAGAUUUUCAGUAAAUGGUGGCAAAAAACAAAUGAUAAUCCUUUUGUUCAGAAUUAUUCAUUAG
rnacentral:lncRNA from 1 species